AUUGAACGCUGGCGGCAUGCCUUACACAUGCAAGUCGAACGGCAGCAUGACGUGUAGCAAUACACGUUGAUGGCGAGUGGCGAACGGGCGAGUAAUAUAUCGGAACGUGCCCUGUAGCGGGGGAUAGCCCGGCGAAAGCCGGAUUAAUACCGCAUACGCUCUACGGAGGAAAGCGGGGGUCGCAAGACCGCGCACUAUAGGAGCGGCCGAUAUCGGAUUAGCUAGUUGGCGGGGUAAAAGCCCACCAAGGCAACGAUCCGUAGCUGGUCUGAGAGGAUGAUCAGCCACACUGGAACUGAGACACGGUCCAGACUCCUACGGGAGGCAGCAGUGGGGAAUUUUGGACAAUGGGCGCAAGCCUGAUCCAGCCAUGCCGCGUGAGUGAAGAAGGCCUUCGGGUUGUAAAGCUCUUUCGGCAGGAACGAAAUGGUCCGUGCUAAUACCACGGACUGAUGACGGUACCUGAAGAAGAAGCACCGGCUAACUACGUGCCAGCCGCCGCCGUAAUAC
rnacentral:rRNA from 1 species